UCGGGAAUUUUGGGCAAUGGGGGAAACCCUGACCCAGCAACGCCGCGUGAAGGAUGAAGUAUUUCGGUAUAUAAACUUCGAAAGAAUAGGAAGAAUAAAUGACGGUACUAUUUAUAAGGUCCGGCUAACUACGUGCCAGCAGCCGCGGUAAUACGUAGGGACCAAGCGUUGUUCGGAUUUACUGGGCGUAAAGGGCGCGUAGGCGGCAUGACAAGUCACUUGUGAAAUCUCUGGGCUUAACCCAGAACGGCCAAGUGAUACUGUCGCGCUAGAGUGCAGAAGGGGCAAUCGGAAUUCUUGGUGUAGCGGUGAAAUGCGUAGAUAUCAAGAGGAACACCUGAGGUGAAGACGGGUUGCUGGGCUGACACUGACGCUGAGGCGCGAAAGCCAGGGGAGCAAACGGGAUUAGAUACCCAUGUAGUCCCUGAGCGGGCUGGCAAGGCGCAU
rnacentral:rRNA from 1 species